AUUGAACGCUGGCGGCAUGCUUUACACAUGCAAGUCGAACGGUAACAGGCCGCAAGGUGCUGACGAGUGGCGAACGGGUGAGUAAUGCAUCGGAACGUGCCCAGUCGUGGGGGAUAACGCAGCGAAAGCUGUGCUAAUACCGCAUACGAUCUAUGGAUGAAAGCGGGGGACCGUAAGGCCUCGCGCGAUUGGAGCGGCCGAUGUCAGAUUAGGUAGUUGGUGGGGUAAAGGCUCACCAAGGCAACGAUAUGUAGCUGGUCUGAGAGGACGACCAGCCACACGGGGACUGAGACACGGCCGAGACUCCUACGGGAGGCAGCAGUGGGGAAUUUUGGACAAUGGGCGCCAUCCUGAUCCAGCAAUGCCGCGUGCAGGAAGAAGGCCUUCGGGUUGUAAACUGCUUUUGUACGGAACGAAAAGGUUUGGGUUAAUACCCUGGGCCGAUGACGGUACCGUAAGAAUAAGCACCGGCUAACUACGUGCCAGCCGCCGCGGUAAAAC
rnacentral:rRNA from 1 species